rnacentral:misc_RNA from 1 species
CAUCCACGUGUGUCAUUGACGUCAUAGAGAACACUGCCUCGGCCCUUGGAAGCUUCACGCAACUCCGGCGCGCGCGCACGCACGCACACACACACAUAUAUAUAUAUAUGCAUGGAUGUAUGUGCAUUGAUACACACACAUACAUGCACACACAAAGCAAACAGUGACAUAGACGUAAAUCUACGCCGUUGUUCUUGUUGACUGCACGCACACAAACACACAGACAAUAUACAUACACACGAACGCUCGCUUGCAUCGUUUACCUUUUUUUUGUAAGGGGCAGCGUUAUCAUCCAUAUCUACACCGAUUCGUUUUUUUUUUCGUGCCUGUGUGUCCUGGCGUGGGCAAUGAGCAGCACGACGGAUUGGGCCCGCUUCCUCGCCGCGCUGGAGAAGCGAGGGGUUCGGUUUGAUCAGGUGCAGUACGCCACUGACCGCCAGGAGGUCAUUCGUGCGACCGGCAUUACAGAUGCCCUGAGCAUCGCGGUAGUGGAGACGGUGUGGCAGCGCCACUGCAACAGCGGAAGAGAUGCCUCGGACUCGAUACCACUGGACCACCAAGGCGCUUCCGCCAGUAAUCCCACACCCACUCGCACUCUGGCACCGCUUCUGUCUCAACCAGCACCCGAUGAGAGAGGGCCGGCUACGUCUGCCAGAGCCUCGAACGGCGGUGUGGCUGGUCUGCCGGCUCUCCACGAGCUCUCCCAGUUGACAAGGCUGCCAGAGGAGUUGCAGGACACCGUGUUGGCGACAGAAGUGCUGGCGGCAGCAGUCGGGCUUGGGGGCGUCUUCCUCCAGUACAAGCCAGCGGCACCCGGCACCUCGAGCGGCAUCAGCCCCAAAGAGGGCUUUCAGGUCUCGCCGCUGGUGCCUGCGUCCAUGCGGAGCCUGUGCGAAACUGUCCUGCCUGUCGCCGACGCCUUCAUGGCACUUCGCUGCAUCGAAAAGGCCGAAUACUCCAGUUGUAGUCUUGUGCUCAUGGCACUCGGCGAGGUGGUUUCCGAGAUCAACACGAGCUACGCUCACCAGGUGUCCAAGCUGCAGCUCUGGAGUGAGGGGCGGCCGAUGCCGCUGAUGGGUGUGGUGUCGGAGAUUCUCCGUGUCGGGCAUCACGUGGUACGACUGCGGCAAGUGCUGCCAAUGGAUCUGAUUUGCUCAGCACUCGCUGAGGCGGCGGCGGCGGCUCCGACAUCGUCGACUUUCGCCUCUCCCUCUACCGGGCUCGUGGGCCCUCGCAUCUUGAAUCACCUGUGUGACCAAGUGAACAAGUACUCCGGAAGCUGCGAGGAUCACGAGCUGCUGACGCUGCUGCUCCGCCGCUCGCUUGUCCCGUAUCUGCGCAUGCUGCAGCGCUGGAUGCACAGCGGCGUGCUAGACGACCCGUACGGUGAGUUCUUCAUAUCGGAGGUUUACCACCCAGCGCGGCCGUCCCCGACGGCUGCGAGUCAUCAGCAGCAGCGACACGUUGGCCAGUUCUUUUUGGAUGCGCUGGCGCCGUCGGCGACAGGCGCCGGGCGCGAAGGUGAGCUUGGAGCAAGCGGCUCCAGCACGGCUUCUCAGGGCCGAUUCGGCUUGAAAAGACGUGCGACUGCGCAGCAGGACGUGGUGGCCUUUGACCGGCGCUUCUCCCUCAACAAGAGCCUCGUGCCAGUGUUCCUCAACACACCGAGUCGCAUAGCCAAAAUGGUUUUUUUCGCUGGUAAGUACUGCUGUCUCUUGCGAGAGUACGGCGCGGCACUCCCAGCGUUUCGCACCGCAGCCGUGUGUGGCGGUGCUGGCGCUGCUUCUGCUGCUGCAGGAUCCAGGCCCGACGGUCCGGACGACGCCCUCUUGACUUGGAGCGGUGCGGACCAGCUUCAACGUCAGGUGCAGGAGUCCUUCGAGAUCUCCAGCGGGGCCGUGAUCCAGCUGCUGUUUAGCCCGUCCGUCGACUUACUCGGGCACCUCAAGUCUCUGAAGCUGUACUUUCUCCAAGAGCGCGGUGACUGGGUGGUGGACUUCCUCGACAGCGCCGAAAGCCUCCUCGCUGAGCAUCCGGAUCGCGUCAAACAACACUCGAUGCAGGUGCUGCUGCAGGCGGCCGUGGCCCGCAGCUGCUCCAGCGAUCCGUACCAUGACUUGAUCGGGUGCAGCUUUGCGAACUGCACGUUGGAGGAGCUGCUGCAAGAACAGAAUCGGCAGCGCGACAGCGGCGGCGACACGUUGACUGCGGCCGUCGGCGAGGGUGCGACGACGGCGCUGCCGUCCCGUCGGAGCAUGGGCGGUAACGGUGGCGAAGUCGACGCGCGGCGCAGUCUGGAGCUGCUUCAGCUCGAGACGGACCUGCAGUGGCCCUUGACGUUGGUGCUCGAUGGAAAGGUGACGCAUCGUCUCAAUGUCAUCUUUCGGCUACUGGUGUGGGUGAAGACCUGCGAGCGGCACCUGUGCGAGCUGUGGUAUACAAACGAAAUCCUUGGCGAGUUCAGUGCUGCUUACGGGCUGAAGCACCAGUUUGUGCAGUUUCUGCGUCAGUUCCAGUUUUACGCUGCCCAUUUUGUGCUGGAGCCGCUGUGGAGUCGCCUCAUCGCGCGCAUCGGUCAGGCAGACAGCGUUUUCGCCAUCUCGCAGGCGCUCACGGACUUCUUCGACGGCGUGGAGACGGGCUUGGUUCUCUCCAGCACUCAGCGCUUCCGCAGUCUGGCACACAUUCUCGAGCUAACGGAACGUUUCUGCGCGGUAGGGAUGCACAGCAGUACAGCGACAAUGCCGCUGAUUGAAGCAACGCUGCAUUCUGUCGAGGACCAAUUUCUGCGUGCGCUGUCGGAGCUUGCCUCGCCGAUCGGACCUGACUACCCGCAGUUGGUGCCGCUGCUGACAUGGAUCGACUUUAGCCGCUUCUACGACCAGAACAACGUUUAUCAUGUUCAGCACGGCGCAGCAAGCUCUGCAGCAGGUCGUAGUAUGUAAGGGCGCCGUGGGUUCAAGGGUGUGGAAGCAACCGGGGCGGCGAGUGUGUGGGAGUUGUGGGCAGCAGUGACCGGGCUACACCUGUGCAGCAUCGCAGCCGCUUGCCCUGACGCUGCUUGACCCUUUUAGCUGCGCCGUUCUCUUUUCCCGCCUCUUCUUUGCUGUGACUAAUGUAGAACGGGGCGACGAACGAAGAGCAACAAUGCCGGAUGUGUCCCUCGGUUUGUUCUUUGUGAAGGAAGGGUAGGGGGAGGGGUUUGCUCUACGGCAGAUUGAUGCAUAGAACAAGCUGAACCCUAAAACGGAUGAGCACACAUGCUGCGCUUUCUCAGACGCGUUUUAGCUGCCUGCUUGCCCCACACGAGAGACGUGCACGGGUGGGGGAUGCGAUGAUGCGGUGCAUCAGUCGUUUUUUGCACAGAGAUAGCGAGGCUGGGGAGCCGCAAGGCAUGCGGCACGAUGCUUCCACCACGACUUCUUGCACGGGCUGCACACUGUCUGUAUCGAGGGACUUAUGCUCUUGGCCUUUCUCCCCCUCUCAUGCAUGUCGUGCUCGGUUCUCGCAUGCCAGGACGAAUCUCGACCACUGCUGUGCCAAUGCUCCCCUUCUCCUCCCUUUCCCCUCAAACACGUCCUGCGUUCCUUCGCUAG